rnacentral:rRNA from 1 species
UGGGGGUGCCUGAAGUCGGUGACCGCAAGGAGCUGCCUAGGGUAAAACUGGUAACUAGGGCUAAGUCGUAACAAGGUAGCCGUACCGGAAGGUGCGGCUGGAACACCUCCUUUCUAGAGC